UUUUCCACCAGGAAGGGCUGCUUUCACCCAAAACCUAGAAGAGGGUGGCUAUUUCUGUAGACAUAGGUCUAAAAAAAGUCUUUAUGGAUUUUGGAACCCCAAGAACCACCAAAUUCUCAGUCUCAAUAAAACUGCCCAGUGACUCACCUCACCCUUGUAAACCAAAAGGUAUCUGAGGCAAGUCUCAAUCAAUUUAGAGGUUUAUUUUGCCAAGGUUAAAAUAACCUUGGCACAGCCUCGGGACAUCCUGACGACAUGUGCCCAAGGUGGUCAGGCUACAGCUUGGUUUAAUACAUUUUAGGGAGACAUAAGACAUCAAUCAAUAGCUGUAAGAUGUACAUUAGUUCAUCCCAGAAAGGUGGGACAACUUGAAGGCAGUGGGGUUGGGGAGGCUUCGAGGUUAUAGGUGAAUUCAGAGAUGUUUCUAUUGGCAAUUGGUUGAAAGAGUUAAGAUCUAGAAUCAACAGAAGGGAGUGCCCAAGUUCAGAUAAGGGGCUGUGGAGACCAAGAUUCUUAUUGUGCAGAUGAAGCCUCCAGGUUGCAGACUUCAGAAAGAAUAGAUUGUGAAUGUUUCUUAUCUGACUUUUAAAAAGUGCCAGACUCUUAGUUAAUUCUCUCCUGGAUCAGAGAAAAGAUCUGGAAGGAAAAGGGGAUUCGCUACAGAAUGUAAAUUUUUCCCACAGGAGACAGCUUUGCAGGGCCAUUUUAAAAUGUGUAAAGAAAUCUAUUUUAGGGUAAAAUAUUUUGAUUUCUUUCAGGGCCUGAUACCUUUCAUGUGAUGCUACACUACAUUCAGGCUGGAAUUUGGUGUCUUAUUGCUACAAAAAGUCUUAAGAUCUCUGUUUUAAUGUUGAUGCUGGUCAGUUGUGCCUGAAUUCCAAUAGGGGGAGCGUAUGUAUGGUGAAGGGUAUCCGGCCCUUGCCUCCUCAUCAUGGCCUGAACUCGUUUUUCAGGUAAACUCUGGAAUGAAUGCUCUUGGCCAAGAGGAAGGGUCCAUUCAGAUGGUUGGGGAGCUUAGAAUUUUAGUUUUAGUUUACAUCCCUGAGGCAGAGUGGGAUUUCUAGGGAGUGAGAGAUGCUAAAAAAAAAUGUUCAUCUGGGAAAGCCGGCAUAACAGCCACACAAUUAGCAAGACGCUCCCUCAAUAAACCUUGGGAACUGGUUGCUGUGAGGAAUGGAGGAAAUUCCAUCCCCUGAUGAGAAGCUUAUCAAGUCACUUAAUACUCUGCAUAACACUGUGCCAUUUUGCAUUGGAAAGCCUUGUAUCCUGCAGAGAGGACGAGUGAUGGAGUGGAUACACACGGCUGCUAGUGCAAACCUGUAAGCCAAGGUGAGUCCCAUUUUCAACCUCGAGUCCCAUUCUCCUGGAGACCAACCUUCCUCUGUGGCCCACACUGCACCCUACAGACACUGUCAACAUUUCCUUCUGUUUGGGUGUAACUUUUGCGUUCCUACAGCUCUAAAACCAGCAUUGUUGGCACAGCCUGCUGUUUCUUGAAAAGCAGCUUAACCUCUUUACCUCUUUACCUUUACUUAUCAAAAUAGGUUCCUAGUGGCCACUGAAGCUGUCAGAGGCAUUUGAACCAGAGCAACUCCAUUUUCAAUAGAGGCUGGGUAAAAUAAGGCUGAGACCUAUUGGGCUGCAUUCUUAGGAGGUUAGGAGUUCUAAGUCAGAGGAUGAGAUAGGAGGUUGGCACAAGAUACAGGUCAUAAAAACCUUGCGAUAAAGGUGGGACACAGUGGCUCACACCCGUAAUCCCAGCACUUUGGGAGGCCGAGGUGGGUGGAUCACGAGGUGAGGAGUUCAAGACCAGCCUGGCCAAGAUGGUGAAAAUCUAUCUCUACUAAAAAUACAAAACAAAAAAAAAGUAGCUGGGCAUGGUGGCAGGUGCCUGUAAUCCAAACUACUUGGGAGGCUGAGGCAGAGAAUUGCUUGAACCCAGGAGGCGGAGGUUGUAGUGAGCCGAGAUCAUGCCGCUGCACUCCAGCCUGGGUGACAGAGCAAGACUGUCUCAAAAAAACAAAACAAAACAAAACAAAAACUUGCUGAUAAAACAGGUUGUAGUAAAGAAGCUGGCUAAAACCCGCCAAAAGAUGGUGAUGGAAUUGACCUCUAGUCAUCCUCAUGGCUUAUUAUAUGCUCAUUAUAAUAUUUUAGCAUGCUAAAAGACACUCCCACCAUUGCCAUGACAGUUUACAAAUGCCAUUGCCAUGUUAAGAAGUUACCCUAUAUGGUCUAAAAAGGGAAAGAAUCCUCAGUUCAGGGAGUUUCCCACUCGUUUCCUGGAAAGCUCAUGAAAAAUCCACCCCUUGGUUAGCACAUAAUCAAGAAGUAACAAUAAGUAUCAUUAGCAGCUGAAGCGGCUCUCUGCCUUUAGAGUGGCCAUUUUUUAUUCCUUCACUUUCUCUAAUAAACCUGCUUUCACUUUAUGAACUCACCCCAAAUUGUUUCUUGUGUGAGAUCUAAGAACCCUGUCUUGGGGUCUGGAUCGGGACCCCUUUUUGGUAACAAAGUCUCUACUUAUUUAGCUUAGUGGCCAGCUAAUAACUGGACAGAGGUUUCUUUAAAUGCCUGGAAUGAAAUAUCUCUCAGUCUUUGCAGAUGGGUUUUCUGCGUCUGUUGGGGCACAUGGUCAGCACUCUGCCAGGAAAUUGGCAACUCUGUCUCAACUUUCCUUCCCGCUCCUGCAGGGCCUCAACUUCAGUCAGUGGUGAGUGCUUAGGGCCUUCUCCGGUUCCUGGACAUGUGCAAAGCCCUACUGGACAGAUUCUCAGGGUCUUAUAGAUUCCCAGGAAUGUGACAAAGCUUUUCAGGGUCCUUAUGGACAUCUCAUUCCUCAGCUUUUCCUUUAAGCUUUUCAUUAGUCUAUUGUUUGCCCCAAAUGCUAUCCAUUACCUCGGGCAGCUGUACCCGUUGAAACACUAGUAAAUGCUACAGGCAAAUGCUCCUCCCUCCCCCAAGGCUUUUAGUACUGGGCCACUAAUAAAGACAAGGUCUUUCAGGGAAGCACUAGACAGGUCAAAUAAUGACUCUCUUUGGGAAUGAGAUCUAUUCUAUCCCUUUCAGUACAGGGAGUGCAGGUGAUUUCCAAGGCUGCUGCUGAGCUGGAGCAAGAGGAUGAGACUAGGGCAAGUCAAAAUGCUACAAAGCCCUCGGUUCUUACUGGGAUUCAGCUGCUUUUCUUACAUAAACACUCCCUGGGGUGUUGCAAGCAGUUGGUGAAUUUUCAGAGUUCUGAAAAAGUUGUUUCUGGCCAUUUUUGCCAGUUUUUUUUAUGGCUUUUAUGGAGGAGUGAACUUUCAGAGGUUCUGUACUCUGCUGCCUUCCUGAUGCUUAUCUGCUCCUUUCCUUUUGGAGCUGGGAUGAACCUGUCUAGCCAUGUUGAAGCCACAUCUGCAUAGCAUCAGACAGCCCAUCAGUUUAUGUCAAUGAGACUGAGGUAACACUGCCGUAAGCUACGACAUACAGCUGUCUGUAUUAUUGUCCCCUAAAGUGCAGAGAACUCUCCAAAAACAGUUGAUUUUUACCUCACAGUUGAUUACUAAGAAAAAAUACAACCUCAAAUUAAACUCCAAGUGGGAGAAUGCUGCAAUGUUAAAAUUGUCAUAAUUCUCAAUUCGGUACAGACAUGUCACUCCAGUCCGAUAUUGUCAUUGGCCCAUUCACUCAGUCUCUGUUGAACAGCUGGUAUCAAUUGAACCUGGUGGCCUGGAAGAGGCAGAGCUGAAUAAGAUGUAGUCACCUCCUAAAGGAGGUGAAGGAGACAGCCAGACCCAGCAGCUCCUGGCUCAAGGGCUCUGAGGAAGGGGUGUGCAAUGGCCCCAACAGACCUCCUGAAUAAGGUGGCAUUUGGGUUCAAUGGGUUUGGGCAAAAGUAUUUAUCCUCAUAAAUAUUCUUGACUUAAAGAUCUUUUAAAUUUUUUAUUUCUAUUUUGUAAAAUUUCAAUGGCUUUGGGGGUACAAGUUGUUUUUGAUUACACAGAUGAAUUGUACAGUGGUGAAGACGGAGAUUUUAGUGCGCCCGUCACCUAAGUAGUGUACAUUGUACUCAAUAAGUAGUUUAUUUUCUCUCACCUUCCUCCCACCCUCCUGCUUUUGAAUCUCCACACUUCAUUAUAUUACUCUGUAUGUCUUUGCGUACCCAUAGCUUAGCUCCCACUUAUAAGUGAGAAUGUUCAAUAUUUGGUUUUCCAUUCCUGACUUACUUCACUUAGCAUAAUGGCCUCCAGCUCCAUCUAAGUUGUUGCAAAAGACAUUAUUUUGUUCCUUUUUAUGGCUGAGUAGUAUUUCAUGAUUGUGUGUUGGCCUAUCAGUUGAUGGGCACUUAGGUUGAUUCUAUGUCUUUGCAAUUGUGAAUUGUGCUGUAAUAAACAUAUGCAUGCAAGUGUUUUUUUGAUUUAGUGACUGUUUUUGGGAGGUAGAUACCCAGUAGUGGAAUUUCUGGGUAGAAUGGUAGAUCUACUUUUAGUUCUUUGACAAAUAUCCACAUCUUUUUCCACAGAGGUUGUGCUAAUUUACAAUCCCACCAGCUGCGUAUAAGCGUUCCAUUUUCACUACAUCCACACCAACAUCUAUUGCUUUUUGACUUUUAAAAAAUAGCCGUUCUGACUAGGAUAAAGUGGUGCCUCAUUGUGGUUCUAAUUUGUAUUUCCCUGAUUAGUGAUGUUGAGCAUUUUUUCAUCUGUCUGGUGGCUUUCUGUGUGUCUUAUUUUGAGAAAUGUGUAUUCAUUCAACUCAAGGAUUUUAUCCUUGCUUUUGUUUCUUCCUGGAAUGUUCUUACUUCACUUACCUGGGUCUCUCCUCUCAUUCAGGUCUCAAUGCCAAGGUCUUCCCUGAGGACCUGAUCUAGUUUCUCUUUCCCUAUUGAGAUGGAGCAGGAGCCCCCUUUAUUAGGGGCCUGCAGACCCCAAACAUGGAAAUCAAGGAGAAUCAUGAUUGCCUUCAAGGGAAGUUCCAGGCACCUAGCUAGCUCCAGAAGUCAAUAAGUAACUUAUUAAAAAAGAAGGCAAUAGUAGCCUAAAGGACACCUGAGGAAAUUAGAGUCCUAGGGAUGUUUGUUUUUCCUAAAGAAUCCAAGGAGAACAUCUUAACCUGUACUUCUGAGUUGUCUUUCAGAAACUCAGACCCCCACUGGGGACCCACACUGAAGGGAUCAGCCAAUAUGCAGACCUCAGAUACGCUCAGCGUGUUCCAAGACGCAGGCCCCACCCCCGGAGGUGAAUGUGUGGAGAUAACCAGUUACCACGGGGCUCUCUAGAAGGGGUCCAGCACACAGGCAGUUGGCAGAACCCGGGAAGUACCAGCUAUUGAAAUGAACUCAAACUGCCUUAUCUAAAGACUGUGAAAAAAGAAAUGGUUCGGGUACAAAGCUUACUGCCAAGGAGUGCUCUGCCACCUCUGCCUGACAGGGACAGAAGGGAUCUUGUUGGCAACACAUUCCCAGGGUUGGAAGGGCCCCUGCGGAGCUUCAUGGCACAGGCAGAACAGAUGCUGAGAUCACUCAUGUGGAUGAGAGACCUGGCUGCCCACUCACACCACCUGGCGAGCUUGAGAUCAGCAUCUAAAACGCCCCAGGAGAACUGGGCACUGGUUCUGACAAGUUAAGAAGGCAAAAGUCUGCUGCUCUGGGGUGACGGGUGUAACUGGAUACAGGACCUUCAUUGGUCCCACUGGAAAUGACCCUGACCCCAGCCUUGGUUUGUGACUGACUGAAAUUCCUGUGGCCUUCUCAAAGCUGAGGUCUUCCAUUUGCACUGAUUCAUGGAUACUCAUGGCAUUGUGAGUCUUUCGCGAAUCUGCCAGGAUACAUCAUGUUAUCGGGUGCAGGUGUGUGUAAAGAUCUGACCCCUGAACACAUCUUUUGUGAACUAACAGAGAAACAGAUGCUAGUGGAUGUGUGUGUGUCAUCCACACCUAGGGAGACAACAGGGCUUCCAAACCCCUAGAGCUGAUCCCUGGCAGGGCUCAAACUGCAGGGGAGAUGCUGUGGGGGUCUGUGGUUACUUUUGU
rnacentral:lncRNA from 1 species